rnacentral:rRNA from 1 species
AGAGUUUGAUCAUGGCUCAGGACGAACGCUGGCGGCGUGCCUAAUACAUGCAAGUCGAACGAACUCUGGUAUUGAUUGGUGCUUGCAUCAUGAUUUACAUUUGAGUGAGUGGCGAACUGGUGAGUAACACGUGGGAAACCUGCCCAGAAGCGGGGGAUAACACCUGGAAACAGAUGCUAAUACCGCAUAACAACUUGGACCGCAUGGUCCGAGCUUGAAAGAUGGCUUCGGCUAUCACUUUUGGGUGGUCCCGCGGCGUAUUAGCUAGAUGGUGGGGUAACGGCUCACCAUGGCAAUGAUACGUAGCCGACCUGAGAGGGUAAUCGGCCACAUUGGGACUGAGACACGGCCCAAACUCCUACGGGAGGCAGCAGUAGGGAAUCUUCCACAAUGGACGAAAGUCUGAUGGAGCAACGCCGCGUGAGUGAAGAAGGGUUUCGGCUCGUAAAACUCUGUUGUUAAAGAAGAACAUAUCUGAGAGUAACUGUUCAGAUAUUGACGGUAUUUAACCAGAAAGCCACGGCUAACUACGUGCCAGCAGCCGCGGUAAUACGUAGGUGGCAAGCGUUGUCCGGAUUUAUUGGGCGUAAAGCGAGCGCAGGCGGUUUUUUAAGUCUGAUGUGAAAGCCUUCGG